rnacentral:rRNA from 1 species
GGAAUCUUUCACAAUGGGCGAAAGCCUGAUGGAGCAACGCCGCGUGCAGGAUGACGGCCUUCGGGUUGUAAACUGCUUUUAUAAGCGAGAAAUAUGAUGGUAACUUAUGAAUAAGGAUCGGCUAACUACGUGCCAGCAGCCGCGGUCAUACGUAGGAUCCGAGCAUUAUCCGGAGUGACUGGGUGUAAAGAGUUGCGUAGGUGGCGUGGAAAGUCGAUAGUGAAAUCUGGUGGCUCAACCAUUCAGGCUAUUAUCGAAACUUCCAAGCUCGAGACCGUUAGGGGUAACUGGAAUUUCUAGUGUAGGAGUGAAAUCCGUAGAUAUUAGAAAGAACACCGAUAGCGUAGGCAGGUUACUGGGACGGUUCUGACACUAAGGCACGAAAGCGUAGGGAGCAAACG